GAUGAACGCUGGCGGCGUGCCUAAUACAUGCAAGUCGAGCGAACGGACGAGAAGCUUGCUUCUCUGAUGUUAGCGGCGGACGGGUGAGUAACACGUGGAUAACCUACCUAUAAGACUGGGAUAACUUCGGGAAACCGGAGCUAAUACCGGAUAAUAUUUUGAACCGCAUGGUUCAAAAGUGAAAGACGGUCUUGCUGUCACUUAUAGAUGGAUCCGCGCUGCAUUAGCUAGUUGGUAAGGUAACGGCUUACCAAGGCAACGAUGCAUAGCCGACCUGAGAGGGUGAUCGGCCACACUGGAACUGAGACACGGUCCAGACUCCUAAGGGAGGCAGCAGUAGGGAAUCUGACGCAAUGGGCGAAAGCCUGACGGAGCAACGCCGAGUGAGUGAUGAAGGUCUUCGGAUCGUAAAACUCUGUUAUUAGGGAAGAACAUAUGUGUAAGUAACUGUGCACAUCUUGACGGUACCUAAUCAGAAAGCCACGGCUAACUACGUG
rnacentral:rRNA from 1 species